rnacentral:rRNA from 1 species
AUGUCUACAUACAUUCAUAUGUUGUGUCCAUUUGAAAUGCCUAGAAAGACAAGUAUUUUGGAACGGAGGGAGUACCUGCUGGGGGCCAUGCAAACAGCCAAGUUCAAGAGUCAGCUGUUCCCAGUCUGGGCCCUUGUGCUUGUUAGUUUCCGUUACAAUGUCGACUUUAUCUCUGGCUAUGGUGUUGAUGGCCGCCAUGGGCGACGGUUCAUGGAGUGGAGGAAUGUGGUGAAACUUCUGGGAUCGGCGUUCUUGAACUGGUCACGUGGCUCAAGGUUCACACUUCCACUCUGGUCACUUUGGGCUCUGCAGAUACUAAGGAGCUGGUACAGAUACCAUUCCUAUCUUCUCGCACUCAAUUCUGUCUGGCAUGGUAAGAGUUCAGAGGUCGUUGCUGGCCCUCACACUAGCAACUGGAAACCAGAGGACUGCAACCCAGAGAAUAAUAUGGUAGGAUACAAAUACUUGGUGCAUGGAGAAACCGAUCAGAGAAUCAAAUUCGAGAAGCCUAGGUAUGUCAUGUAUAUUGAUACUGCUCAGAAUGACCAGCAAGCUAAGUGUGGUUCUUGUCCGUGUCAACUGAGAUCAUCGCUGGUCACCCUAGACAAGAUUUGGGGAUGUUGCAGGGACCUGUUACGCCCAGAUAACAGUAAGGGAAAUGACCCAAAGGAUCUCUCUCUGGCCUUCGCCUUGUCCAGACUAGUGCGGUGCAGGCUCGAGGAUGUGACACUGCAACAAAAAUUCUUUAAUAUCAACCGAAAGCUAGUUAAGACUAAGAUCAAGAUUUUGGAAUCUUGGACUCAUAUGAUGACAGACCAAGAUUUUGGAAUCUGCUUCAUAAGCUAA